UNGUGCCAUCCUACAGCUAUUUGUCAGA
rnacentral:piRNA from 1 species